GGCGGUUGUAGCAGCCCUCCAGGAAGUCCUGGCAGAAGUGGCUCAGGAAGAGCCGGACGUUGCGGGCGGAGCGCCGGGGGGGUCCCUGCUCGGGGGGGGCCCAGCGGCGCCGCGGCACCCGGCGCGUCUCCUUGCCCAGGUCAUGGCUAUAGCUUUGCAGGUUGUGCAGCCCCUUAUGGAAGAUGACGUCGUGCUCCCCGAUGGCCUUCAGCCCCUGGAUGACGUAGGAGCCACGGAAACGGGAGUGCCUGGAUGGGCGCUGCAGCACCCGUGCUCUCUGCUCUGCCUGCUCCCGUUGCCGCAGACUCUGCAGCUCCCGCGUGUCCUCCCCGCACUCCGCGCCUGCCCGGC
rnacentral:lncRNA from 1 species